rnacentral:rRNA from 1 species
GCAUAUCAAUAAGCGGAAGGAAAAGAAACUAACAAGGAUUCCCCUAGUAACUGCGAGUGAAGCGGGAAAAGCUCAAAUUUAAAAUCUGGUAGUCUUUGGCUGCCCGAGUUGUAAUCUAGAGAAGUGUUACCCGUGCUGGACCGUGUACAAGUCUCCUGGAAUGGAGCGUCAUAGAGGGUGAGAAUCCCGUCUUUGACACGGACUCCCAGUGCUUUUGUGGUGCGCUCUCAACGAGUCGAGUUGUUUGGGAAUGCAGCUCAAAAUGGGUGGUGAAUUCCAUCUAAAGCUAAAUAUUGGCGAGAGACCGAUAGCGAACAAGUACCGUGAGGGAAAGAUGAAAAGAACUUUGGAAAGAGAGUUAAACAGUACGUGAAAUUGUUGAAAGGGAAACGCUUGAAGUCAGUCGCGUUGUCCGGAAAUCAACCUUGGUUCUCCUGGGUGUACUUUCCGGUUAACGGGCCAGCAUCAGUUUCGAUCGGUGGAAAAAGUCCAAGGGAAUGUGGCAUCUUCGGAUGUGUUAUAGCCCUUGGUCGUAUGCACCGGUUGGGACUGAGGAAUUCAGCACGCCGCAAGGCCGGGGUUCGCCCACGUACGUGCUUAGGAUGCUGGCAUAAUGGCUUUAAUCGACCCGUCUUGAAACACGGACCAAGGAGUCUAACAUGCUUGCGAGUGUUUGGGUGGAAAACCCGAGCGCGAAAUUAACGUGAAAGUCAAGAUCUCUGUCGCGGAGAGCAUUGACGCCCAGACCAGAAGUUUACGGACGGUUCUGCGGUAAAGCACGUAUGUUGGGACCCGAAAGAUGGUGAACUAUGCCUGAAUAGGGUGAAGCCAGAGGAAACUCUGGUGGAGGCUCGUAGCGAUUUCUGACGUGCAAAUCGAUCGUCGAAAUUUGGGUAUAGGGGGCGAAAGACUAAUCGAAACCAUCUAGUAGCUGGUUCCUGCCGGAAG